rnacentral:rRNA from 1 species
UACGUAGGGUCCGAGCGUUGUCCGGAUUUAUUGGGCGUAAAGAGCUCGUAGGCGGCUCAGUAAGUCGGAUGUGAAAACUCAGGGCUCAACCCUGAGACGCCAUCCGAUACUGCUGUGGCUUGAAUCUGGUAGGGGAGCACGGAAUUCCUGGUGUAGCGGUGAAAUGCGCAGAUAUCAGGAGGAACACCGGCGGCGAAGGCGGCUCACUGGGGGUUUUCUGACGCUGAGGAACGAAAGCCAGGGGAGCGAACGGG